rnacentral:rRNA from 1 species
GGGUGGUAAUGCCGGAUGCUCCGGUUGGAUGCAUGUCCUUCCGGGAAAGGUUCCAUCGGUAUGGGAUGGGGUCGCGUCCUAUCAGCUUGAUGGCGGGGUAACGGCCCACCAUGGCUUCGACGGGUAGCCGGCCUGAGAGGGCGACCGGCCACAUUGGGACUGAGAUACGGCCCAGACUCCUACGGGAGGCAGCAGUGGGGAAUAUUGCACAAUGGGCGCAAGCCUGAUGCAGCGACGCCGCGUGCGGGAUGGAGGCCUUCGGGUUGUAAACCGCUUUUGAUCGGGAGCAAGCCCUUCGGGGUGAGUGUACCUUUCGAAUAAGCACCGGCUAACUACGUGCCAGCAGCCGCGGUAAUACGUAGGGUGCAAGCGUUAUCCGGAAUUAUUGGGCGUAAAGGGCUCGUAGGCGGUUCGUCGCGUCCGGUGUGAAAGCCCAUCGCUUAACGGUGGGUCUGCGCCGGGUACGGGCGGGCUGGAGUGCGGUAGGGGAGACUGGAAUUCCCGGUGUAACGGUGGAAUGUGUAGAUAUCGGGAAAGAACACC